rnacentral:rRNA from 1 species
CCUACGGGCUGCACCAGUGGGGAAUAUUGCACAAUGGGCGCAAGCCUGAUGCAGCCAUGCCGCGUGUGUGAAGAAGGCCUUCGGGUUGUAAAGCACUUUCAGCGGGGAGGAAGGCGUUAAGGUUAAUAACCUUGGCGAUUGACGUUACCCGCAGAAGAAGCACCGGCUAACUCCGUGCCAGCAGCCGCGGUAAUACGGAGGGUGCAAGCGUUAAUCGGAAUUACUGGGCGUAAAGCGCACGCAGGCGGUCUGUCAAGUCGGAUGUGAAAUCCCCGGGCUUAACCUGGGAAUGGCAUCUAAGACUGGUCAGCUAGAGUCUUGUAGAGGGGGGUAGAAUUCCAUGUGUAGCGGUGAAAUGCGUAGAGAUGUGGAGGAAUACCGGUGGCGAAGGCGGCCCCCUGGACAAAGACUGACGCUCAGGUGCGAAAGCGUGGGGAGCAAACAGGAUUAGAUACCCCUGUAGUC